UACGAAGGGUGCAAGCGUUAGUCGGAAUUACUGGGCGUAAAGCGUGCGUAGACGGUUAUUUAAGUCGGAUGUGAAAGCCCCGGGCUCAACCUGGGAAUUGCAUUCGAGACUGAAUAGCUAGGGUGCGGUAGAGGGAAGCGGAAUUUCCGGUGUAGCGGUGAAAUGCGUAGAUAUCGGAAGGAACAUCAGUGGCGAAAGCGGCUUCCUGGACCAGCACCGACGUUCAGGCACGAAAGCGUGGGGAGCAAACAGG
rnacentral:rRNA from 1 species